rnacentral:rRNA from 1 species
UGGAUUGAGAGCUUGCUCUCAUGAAGUUAGCGGCGGACGGGUGAGUAACACGUGGGUAACCUGCCCAUAAGACUGGGAUAACUCCGGGAAACCGGGGCUAAUACCGGAUAACAUUUUGAACUGCAUGGUUCGAAAUUGAAAGGCGGCUUCGGCUGUCACUUAUGGAUGGACCCGCGUCGCAUUAGCUAGUUGGUGAGGUAACGGCUCACCAAGGCAACGAUGCGUAGCCGACCUGAGAGGGUGAUCGGCCACACUGGGACUGAGACACGGCCCAGACUCCUACGGGAGGCAGCAGUAGGGAAUCUUCCGCAAUGGACGAAAGUCUGACGGAGCAACGCCGCGUGAGUGAUGAAGGCUUUCGGGUCGUAAAACUCUGUUGUUAGGGAAGAACAAGUGCUAGUUGAAUAAGCUGGCACCUUGACGGUACCUAACCAGAAAGCCACGGCUAACUACGUGCCAGCAGCCGCGGUAAUACGUAGGUGGCAAGCGUUAUCCGGAAUUAUUGGGCGUAAAGCGCGCGCAGGUGGUUUCUUAAGUCUGAUGUGAAAGCCCACGGCUC